CCCACUAAUUCGCUCAAGACCUCGUAACCCCGAACCAACAUCACGUCUCAGUUGCGAAAAAAAUAUCACGUCUCCAACUCCAACCAUAGCUCUCCCCUCUCCCCCAGCCGCCACAGAACUCCACCCUGUUCCCAUCGCCGCCGCCCGCCGCCCGCCGCUUCUCCUCUCCUCUGCUACCCCAGGCGCGAGGAACCAACCUCCCGAAGCAACCGGAGCGGCAAAGCGGCGGAGGAAUGGAGAGAUGGCGUCUGCGAUGGCGGGGAAAAAGAUGGGGCGGGCGUCCUACAUCCGGAUCAAGCAUGAGGAGGAGCGGCACGAGGCGUCCUGGAAGGAGCCCGAGGGCUGGGUCUUCUCCGCCACCACGCGCACCGAUGUCGCCGCGCGCCUUGGCGAGCUCCGCGACCAGAUCCUCGCCGGUUGCGCCUCCUUCCCGAACUCGCCGCACAGCACUCCGGCUGCUCCUCCGCCCGCCGCGGCGGCGACCUAGGUACGCCUCCACUUGCCCCACUUACGCGCUCUGCAGGCUUUCAUAUAGGGUCUCCGAUCGUGGCGAACCAGAAGCACCAGCCCAGGAAGAGCUCGACAGCGUGGAGGUCCUCCCCAGCCAGUAGUACGUGACCAGCCCGAGAUCCACUGCCGAGCCAAGCACUUCUCCUUUCUUUUUCUUCUUCUGUUACCCAGCCAAAACAAUUUUGUGGAGAACAAUCAUAUCUGGUUAGGAUCCACACAGGAAUCUACAGCACAAAUAAUGGAGGAGCUACUACAAUAGAGGAUGGACCUAUGGUUGCUUCCCAGCUCUUUUCUUCAAAACAAUCUGAGAAAGAGUACAAAGGAAAUUGGAGCAUAUGGAAAAUUGCUCAGGAAUAUCUCCAUCUUAUGCUUAUUGCUUCGAUGUACAGUGACCUAUAAAAGGGUGAAAACAAUCAGUGAGAUACUUCUCUGGAUGUAGAGCUCUCUGACAUACGCCUAAAAGAUAAAAUUAUAUUUUUUACAUUAUUAUUCUCAAUACUAUAGUUGAACAUUCAUUACCUUGUGGUUCGUACUUGGUCCCAGCCUCCCAAGCAUAAAUCUGAAGUUGUUCUGUAUAGGGGAGUGAAUUGUAUGAGAGUGUGUUUCCAGGCUUAAAUCUGAAAUUGUUGUGUAUACUAUAUGUGCAUGCAGUGUGUAUGGUAGAACCAAUCGAUUUGCAGAAGAUAGCAUGAACCGGAAGGGUAAUCGGUGCCGCCACCGGAAGGCUCGGCAGUGCUAAUCGCCGGAACUACACUACCGGCAGUGCCAUCCAAAUCCUCGGAGACGCUCAAGCUACAGGAAUUUGGACCGUCCUGCAAGAAGAAUCAGUUGAGAAGAUUGGACUAUGCUACUUCUCUAAGGCUGAGUAUACACUCUUUGUUGUUAAUUGUAGUGAUAGUUACUAUUAUUGAAUUGCUAAGGUGACAAACUGACAGUUAUUGCUUGAUGAGCUUACUCUUGUUCAUCACAUUGCAUCCCUCUUACACGGGAAUCAUCAAAUGUUCACACAUAUGUAUGUCCUUUAGUUGUCAUUUGCUCUUUUUUAUUUCUUCUUCCCUUUUUUGUGUGGAUAAUCCAAUUUCUUAUGUUGUCAAUGGAUCUUAAACAUCUUCA